AGAGUUUGAUCCUAGCUCAGGAUUAACACUAGCGGUAUGCCUAAUACAUGCAAGUCGAACGGAAAGUGUUCUUCGGAAUGCUUUUAGUGGCGAACGGGUGAGGAACACGUGCUUAAUCUACCCUUAAAUCGGGAAUACACAUCGGAAACGGUGAAUAAUGCCCGAUGUGUUUAACAAAACGCAUGUUUGGUUAAACAAAGCAACCUUCAAGUUGUGUUUAAGGAUGAAAGCGCGCCGCAUUAGAUUGUUGGUGGGGUAACGGCCUACCAAGUUGAUGAUGCGUAGCUGGACUGAGAGGUUGAACAGCCACACUGGGAUUGAGAUACGGCCCAGACUCCUACGGGAGGCAGCAGUAAGGAAUUUUUCACAAUGGGCGCAAGCCUGAUGGAGCAAUACCGCGUGAUUGACGAAGGUUUUCGAAUCGUAAAAAUCUGUGGUAAGAAAAGAAGAUUGCAUUGAGGAAAUGCUUUGCAAUUUGACGGUCUCUUAUUAGAAAGUCACGACUAAUUACGUGCCAGCAGUCGCGGUAAUACGUAAGUGGCAAGUGUUAUCCGGAAUUAUUGGGCGUAAAGUAUGCGUAGAUGGUUUAGCAAGUCGCAGGUUUAAGCGUGGAGCUUAACUCCAUUUCGCUUGCGAUACUACUAGACUAGAGGGUAGAAGAUGUUAGUGGAAUUUCAUGUGUAGCGGUGGAAUGCGUGGAUAUAUGAAGGAACACCAAUAGCGAAGGCGACUAACAGGUCUACUCCUGACAUUGAGGCAUGAGAGCGCGGGGAGCAAAUCGGAUUAGAUACCCGAGUAGUCCGCGCCGUAAACGCUGGGUACUAGAUAUUGUCAUUUGAAGAGAAUGUCGAAGUUAACACGUUAAGUACCCCGCCUGGGGAGUAUGCGCGCAAGCGUAAAACUCAAAGGAAUUGACGGGAACCCGCACAAGCGGUGGAGCAUGUGGUUUAAUUCGAAGCAACGCGAAGAACCUUACCAAGGUUUGACAUUUACUGCAAAGCUGUAGAAAUACAGGGGAGGUUAACAGUAAACAGAUGGUACAUAGUUGUCGUCAGUUCGUGUCGUGAGAUGUUGGGUUAAGUCCCUUAACGAACGCAACCCUUGUUGCUAGUUGCUAACAUUAAGUUGAGAACUUUAGCAAGACUGCCAGUUACAAAACUGGAGGAAGGAGAGGAUGACGUCAAAUCAGUAUGCCUCUUACACCUUGGGCUACACACGUGCUACAAUGGCAAAUACAAAAAGAUGCAAUCUUGCAAAAGGGAGCCAAUCUUUAAAAGUUGUCUCAGUUCGGAUUGAAGUCUGCAACUCGACUUCAUGAAGUCGGAAUCGCUAGUAAUCGUGAAUCAGCAAUGUCACGGUGAAUACGUUCUCGGGUUUUGUACACACCGCCCGUCAAACCACGAAAGUUGAUAGUUCCAGAAGGUAAACGUCUAACCGCAAGGAAGACUUUAACCAAGGAAACAUCAGUGAUUGGGGUUAAGUCGUAACAAGGUAUCCCUACGAGAACGUGGGGAUGGACUACCU
rnacentral:rRNA from 1 species